GAUGAACGCUGGCGGCGUGCCUAAUACAUGCAAGUCGAGCGAACAGACGAGGAGCUUGCUCCUCUGACGUUAGCGGCGGACAGGUGAGUAACACGUGGAUAACCUACCUAUAAGACUGGGAUAACUUCGGGAAACCGGAGCUAAUACCGGAUAAUAUAUUGAACCGCAUGGUUCAAUAGUGAAAGACGGCUUUGCUGUCACUUAUAGAUGGAUCCGCGCCGCAUUAGCUAGUUGGUAAGGUAACGGCUUACCAAGGCAACGAUGCGUAGCCGACCUGAGAGGGUGAUCGGCCACACUGGAACUGAGACAUGGUCCAGACUCCUACGGGAGGCAGCAGUAGGGAAUCUUCCGCAAUGGGCGAAAGCCUGACGGAGCAACGCCGCGUGAGUGAUGAAGGUCUUCGGAUCGUAAAACUCUGUUAUUAGGGAAGAACAAAUGUGUAAGUAACUAUGCACGUCUUGACGGUACCUAAUCAGAAAGCCACGGCUAACUACGUG
rnacentral:rRNA from 1 species